GACGAACGCUGGCGGCGUGCCUAAUACAUGCAAGUCGAACGCAGUGGGGACGGGUGAGUAACACGUUGGUAACCUCCCAUCAGAGGGGAUAACACUUGGAAACAGGUGCUAAACCGAUACUGAUGGAUGGACCCGCGGUGCAUUAGCUAGUUGGGGAUGUAACGGCUCACCAAGGCCACGAGGCAUAGCCGACCUGAGAGAGUGAUCGGCCACGCGGGGACUGAGACACGGCCCAGAGUCAUACGGGAGGCAGCAGUAGGGAAUCUGCGGCAAUUGACGAAAGUCUGACAGAGCAACGCCGCGUGAGUGAAGAAGGUUUUCGGAUCGUAAAACUCUGUUGUUAGAGAAGAGGUAUCUAACCAGAAAGCCACGGCUAACUACGUGCCAGCAGCCGCGGUAAUUC
rnacentral:rRNA from 1 species